AGUGAACGCUGGCGGUAGGCCUAACACAUGCAAGUCGAACGGCAGCACAGAGGAGCUUGCUCCUUGGGUGGCGAGUGGCGGACGGGUGAGGAAUACAUCGGAAUCUACUCUGUCGUGGGGGAUAACGUAGGGAAACUUACGCUAAUACCGCAUACGACCUACGGGUGAAAGCAGGGGAUCUUCGGACCUUGCGCGAUUGAAUGAGCCGAUGUCGGAUUAGCUAGUUGGCGGGGUAAAGGCCCACCAAGGCGACGAUCCGUAGCUGGUCUGAGAGGAUGAUCAGCCACACUGGAACUGAGACACGGUCCAGACUCCUACGGGAGGCAGCAGUGGGGAAUAUUGGACAAUGGGCGCAAGCCUGAUCCAGCCAUACCGCGUGGGUGAAGAAGGCCUUCGGGUUGUAAAGCCCUUUUGUUGGGAAAGAAAUCCAGCCGGCUAAUACCUGGUUGGGAUGACGGUACCCAAAGAAUAAGCACCGGCUAACUUCGUGCCAGCAGCCGCGGUAAUACGAAGGGUGCAAGCGUUACUCGGAAUUACUGGGCGUAAAGCGUGCGUAGGUGGUUAUUUAAGUCCGUUGUGAAAGCCCUGGGCUCAACCUGGGAACUGCAGUGGAUACUGGAUGACUAGAAUGUGGUAGAGGGUAGCGGAAUUCCUGGUGUAGCAGUGAAAUGCGUAGAGAUCAGGAGGAACAUCCAUGGCGAAGGCAGCUACCUGGACCAACAUUGACACUGAGGCACGAAAGCGUGGGGGAGCAAACAGG
rnacentral:rRNA from 1 species